GUGCUCACUUCAGCAGCAAAUAAACUAAAAUUGGAAUGAUACAGAGAUUAGCAUGGCCCCUGUGCAAGGAUGACAUGCAAAUUCAUGAAGGCAAAAAGAGGACUUU